UUAAAUUGAAGAGUUUGAUCAUGGCUCAGAUUGAACGCUGGCGGCAGGCCUAACACAUGCAAGUCGAACGGUAACAGGAAGCAGCUUGCUGCUUUGCUGACGAGUGGCGGACGGGUGAGUAAUGUCUGGGAAACUGCCUGAUGGAGGGGGAUAACUACUGGAAACGGUAGCUAAUACCGCAUAACGUCGCAAGACCAAAGAGGGGGACCUUCGGGCCUCUUGCCAUCGGAUGUGCCCAGAUGGGAUUAGCUAGUAGGUGGGGUAACGGCUCACCUAGGCGACGAUCCCUAGCUGGUCUGAGAGGAUGACCAGCCACACUGGAACUGAGACACGGUCCAGACUCCUACGGGAGGCAGCAGUGGGGAAUAUUGCACAAUGGGCGCAAGCCUGAUGCAGCCAUGCCGCGUGUAUGAAGAAGGCCUUCGGGUUGUAAAGUACUUUCAGCGGGGAGGAAGGUGUUGAGGUUAAUAACCUCAGCAAUUGACGUUACCCGCAGAAGAAGCACCGGCUAACUCCGUGCCAGCAGCCGCGGUAAUACGGAGGGUGCAAGCGUUAAUCGGAAUUACUGGGCGUAAAGCGCACGCAGGCGGUCUGUCAAGUCGGAUGUGAAAUCCCCGGGCUCAACCUGGGAACUGCAUUCGAAACUGGCAGGCUAGAGUCUUGUAGAGGGGGGUAGAAUUCCAGGUGUAGCGGUGAAAUGCGUAGAGAUCUGGAGGAAUACCGGUGGCGAAGGCGGCCCCCUGGACAAAGACUGACGCUCAGGUGCGAAAGCGUGGGGAGCAAACAGGAUUAGAUACCCUGGUAGUCCACGCCGUAAACGAUGUCGACUUGGAGGUUGUGCCCUUGAGGCGUGGCUUCCGGAGCUAACGCGUUAAGUCGACCGCCUGGGGAGUACGGCCGCAAGGUUAAAACUCAAAUGAAUUGACGGGGGCCCGCACAAGCGGUGGAGCAUGUGGUUUAAUUCGAUGCAACGCGAAGAACCUUACCUACUCUUGACAUCCAGAGAACUUUCCAGAGAUGGAUUGGUGCCUUCGGGAACUCUGAGACAGGUGCUGCAUGGCUGUCGUCAGCUCGUGUUGUGAAAUGUUGGGUUAAGUCCCGCAACGAGCGCAACCCUUAUCCUUUGUUGCCAGCGGUUAGGCCGGGAACUCAAAGGAGACUGCCAGUGAUAAACUGGAGGAAGGUGGGGAUGACGUCAAGUCAUCAUGGCCCUUACGAGUAGGGCUACACACGUGCUACAAUGGCGCAUACAAAGAGAAGCGACCUCGCGAGAGCAAGCGGACCUCAUAAAGUGCGUCGUAGUCCGGAUUGGAGUCUGCAACUCGACUCCAUGAAGUCGGAAUCGCUAGUAAUCGUGGAUCAGAAUGCCACGGUGAAUACGUUCCCGGGCCUUGUACACACCGCCCGUCACACCAUGGGAGUGGGUUGCAAAAGAAGUAGGUAGCUUAACCUUCGGGAGGGCGCUUACCACUUUGUGAUUCAUGACUGGGGUGAAGUCGUAACAAGGUAACCGUAGGGGAACCUGCGGUUGGAUCACCUCCUUACCUUAAAGAA
rnacentral:rRNA from 5 species